GGGCCUCUGCUUCCCGGGCAGCCCUGGUGGUGGCAAAGGCAGGAUUCCGGAGAGGUGGCCCGUCCCGAGAGACGCCUGGUUUCUCCUCCGGCGUCCCCCCGUUGGCCUGCUCUGGUUUUCUCUUAGGAGUCCAUGCUUCCAGAUUACAGUCUUGUGCCAACCUUAAGACCUACAUGUAAUGAUCAACAACCAGAGCACAAAGGAUCCCCUCAAAGGGCUAACUCAGAACACCGAUGAGAAGCUGCAAUCAACUGAAGUGAUAGAGGUUUUCAAAGACACGUUUUGUAAUGUCGUGCUUAUUUUACCAGCGUUAAAAUGAAAGUAUAGAGAGUUUUUCACUU
rnacentral:lncRNA from 1 species